GUGACGUGGGGCUGUAGGCAGGGGAUGUAGGGCUAUAUGAUGGGGAGGUCGGGCUGUAAGAGGGUGAUGUGGGGCUGUAGGAAGGUGAAGUAGGACUAUAUGAAGGUGAUGUAGGACUGUAGGAAGGUGAAGUCGGACUAUAAGCAGGUGAAGUGGGGCUAUAGGCAGGUGAAGUGGGGCUGUAUGCAGGUGAAGUGGGGCUGUAGCUGGGAGAUGUGGGGCUAUAACUGGGUGAUGUGGGGCUGUAGCUGGGUGACGUGGGGCUAUAGCUGGGUGAUGUGGGAGAGUAGGAUGGACUGGUAGGCGAAUAAGCCGGACUUGUAGGACUAUAUCCUGGAGAACUAGGGCUAUAUGUCGGAGAGGUCGGACUGUAACCUG
rnacentral:lncRNA from 1 species